rnacentral:rRNA from 1 species
AGCGAACGCUGGCGGCAGGCCUAACACAUGCAAGUCGAGCGGGCACUUCGGUGUCAGCGGCAGACGGGUGAGUAACACGUGGGAACGUACCCUUUGGUUCGGAAUAACGCUGGGAAACUAGCGCUAAUACCGGAUACGCUCUUUUGGGGAAAGGUUUGCUGCCGUAGGAUCGGCCCGCGUUUGAUUAGCUAGUUGGUAGGGUAAUAGCCUACCAAGGCGACGAUCAGUAGCUGGUCUGAGAGGAUGAGCCGCCACACUGGGACUGAGACACGGCCCAGAAUACUACGGGAGGCAGGAGUGGGGGAUAUUGGAAAAUGGGGGGAAGGCUGAUGCCGCCCUGCCGGGUGAGUGAUGAAGGUCUUAGGGUUGUAAAGCUCUUUUGUCCGGGACGAUAAUGACGGUACCGGAAGAAUAAGCCCCGGCUAACUUCGUG